rnacentral:rRNA from 1 species
GACGAACGCUGGCGGCGUGCUUAACACAUGCAAGUCGAGCGGUAAGGCCCUUUCGGGGGUACACGAGCGGCGAACGGGUGAGUAACACGUGGGUGACCUGCCCUUAGCUCUGGGAUAAGCCUGGGAAACUGGGUCUAAUACCGGAUAUGACUCCAUGACGCAUGUUGUGGGGUGGAAAGCCUUGUGCGGCUAGGGAUGGGCCCGCGGCCUAUCAGCUUGUUGGUGGGGUGAUGGCCUACCAAGGCGACGACGGGUAGCCGGCCUGAGAGGGCGACCGGCCACACUGGGACUGAGACACGGCCCAGACUCCUACGGGAGGCAGCAGUGGGGAAUCUUGCGCAAUGGGCGAAAGCCUGACGCAGCGACGCCGCGUGAGGGAUGACGGCCUCGGUUG